GAUGAACGCUGACGGCGUGCCUAAUACAUGCAAGUCGAGCGAACGGACGAGAAGCUUGCUUCUCUGAUGUUAGCGGCGGACGGGUGAGUAACACGUGGAUAACCUACCUAUAAGACUGGGAUAACUUCGGGAAACCGGAGCUAAUACCGGAUAAUAUUUUGAACCGCAUGGUUCAAAAGUGAAAGACGGUCUUGCUGUCACUUAUAGAUGGAUCCGCGCUGCAUUAGCUAGUUGGUAAGGUAACGGCUUACCAAGGCAACGAUGCAUAGCCGACCUGAGAGGGUGAUCGGCCACAAUGGAACUGAGACACGGUUCAGACUCCUACGGGAGGCAGCAGUAGGGAAUCUUCCGCAAUGGGCGAAAGCCUGACGGAGCAACGCCGCGUGAGUGAUGAAGGUCUUCGGAUCGUAAAACUCUGUUAUUAGGGAAGAACAUAUGUGUAAGUAACUGUGCACAUCUUGACGGUACCUAAUCAGAAAGCCACGGCUAACUACGUG
rnacentral:rRNA from 1 species